UUUACUACUUUUUUUUCCAUUAUUUUGUAUCAGAAUGUUGUAAGAAAUGGAUCAACACUAUCAUUUAUGAAGUGACAUAUUUCAGACUUAUAGACACAUUUUGUAAGAGGUACGUGUUUUACUCAAACUAUAAUGACUAGUGUCUAUACUGCAACGGAGUAACUGGCUGGAUGGUAGAUGCAUGGUACAUUUUUAUCAAGCAUAAUUUAAAAUUAAGCUUCCGAAGAUGAUUUUAUAGUAAAUACUAUAAAUAGAUACAGUCCAAGUUUAUAUCAUACAUCUUUGUCAGUAGAUUCCAUCAGGUGUGUGAUAUAAUGGCCAAAACUGCAUUUUUCUUCUAGGUUCAUUUAAUGUUAUCUUUAUAAGUCUUCAAGUUCAUCAGUAUGUUAUUUUUUCCAGCAAAGAAAUUUUUUAAAUUAUUUUUCUAAGAAUAUGCUGUUUAUAUUAAUAUAAGUAUAUUUAUUUAUUUAUCAUCUUAGGAUAUUAAUAUUUUUCUAUUUCAUUUUAAGCUUGAAUAGGUUAGUGCAUUUGUUCCUUAAAGUGAUUAGUUAAAGGGAGAUAAUUUGAAGUAUUCCAUUAUUAAGGGAGGCUAUUCAGGAUGGAUUGCAAUUUUAGCCCUUGCUCUUAGUUCUGGGAACCCUGGUUAUUUAUCAUAUCACAUAGCAGAUGGUAGGAUGCACAAGGCAGUAUGUCUACAAUGUUCAAGUUAAUGAAGUUUUUCAAGUUGAAGUCAAAGUUAUCUUUAUUAGGGAAUGCAGUAAUGGUGAGCUAUUUCUAUUUAUUUUGUAAUUUAUGAUUUAUAUUUUAUGCAUAAGAAUUUGCUAUGGUAAUUUUAGGUAUGUAUAUUAAAAUGUUCCUCUGCUCACAUUUCUUGAAAUAAGCUUUUUGUAUCUGGCAAGUUAUUACCCUUGUUCCAUGUGUAAUGUCGUUAGGCUAAUUCUGAGGAAUUUAUCUUAAAAGGUUUGUUGUUUGUCAUAUUUCUCUGAAGUAACUUUUGAUAUUAAGCUGAAGUAAGUUUUUAUGUUAUAAGUAUUAAGUAAGCUCAAAUAACAAGUAAGUAAGUGUAUAUUGUCAAGAUAUUUGUCAUAAUAAGUACUGUUUUGUUAGCCACUUUCUAAGACAUAGUUUUAUUUGUAUUGUAUUGCAGUUAAUCUGCUAGUUCUGACUAGGAAAAGAAGAGAAGUAAUAAAAGUCAACAUUAAGUUAAAGUCAAGUUUGGUGGUCCUAUCUGUGAAGUUAGUAGUUGUUGGAUUGACUGUAUGGCGAGCUGGUAGAUAUUUCCUUAUUAGAUGAGAGAAUAUUUCACAUUUCAAAAGUACACAGUAUUCAUUUUCCUCAGUGUUUUUAAUUUCUUUCAACAGUAAUAGCAACAUCUUUCUUCAUGAGAUAUAUUGUUGUGUCUUCCAGUUUCAACUUUAAGUCUAAACUUGUUACAUCUGAAUUUUGAUACACAAUGUCAUAAAAAAUAUAAAUACUGUGGAAUGUCAUUUCUUAUAUAUGAUUCAACGUUGAGUAGAGACUUAUAUCGAUGAUAAUAUUCACAUUGAGAGGAAGAUUCCAGGGAGGAGUGCCAGUCUUGAAAGAGGUUGUCUGAGAGUCAUAGUUUAAUUUCUCGAAGAAAUAAAUCGACAUCACCAAUAUUUUGUUGGAUCCAUACUCUACCAAAACCUAAGCGAAAGAGGAUGUUCUUUAUUGUGGUAGCCCAUGAAUAUCUGUUGGAUUUAAAUGUUAAGGAACCGUCGUUAGAAAUAACACUAAUGCUGAUUAAUAUUGCGAGUUUGUAUAAUUUAAUCGAUGCAAGGUUACCCGAGUCUUACAAUGACUCAUGUUCACACGUGUCGUGACAAUGUAUAGACGUUUCAUAGGUAUCCAUUAUUUGUAUUGCACUUUAAGAUUUAAACAAACCAUGCUGUUUUAAACUGAGAAUCACAACACAAAAUGUGUCAGUUAAAGGCAUGUCACAAGUUGUCGCAGCGCACAUUCAGUCGGGAACCAGACCAGAACUGAGACAUUAGCAUUAGACCACAGUUACACCUUUAAGUUUAAGCAUUAUCCGGAAGAAAAAUAGGAGAAGAAAGUGCGUUGUUUAAAUGAGAUUACGAUUCAGUAAGUUUGGGGCGGGUUGACCUCGACUUUCCUCGAGGACAAAUGUAAUCGUUGUUUGUUUGUGACUCAUUCUUGAGAAGUCAAAGCCUUCAGUCAACCUUGGCUGGUAUGCAUUAUGAUUAUUGAAAAGCUUGUGUCGCUUGUUUAUCAUUAUAAUAAGAGUCCCAUGUGACAUUAAAUUUAUGCGACGUUUUCAUUGGUCUUUUAACCAGGACGGUUGUGGCGACCUUGUCCAAUACGGUUCGGCUUCAUGAGCAACAAGAAAAGCGACACAAAGUUGAUGUUAUGGAAAAUUCCAAAUACACAUCCUUGUUCACUCAGAUAUGACAGUUGAGAAAAGGCUGAAAAAUAGGCCUUUAUGUCAGGUUACAUAAGGCUUCUACAAGGAAGCUUUAAUAACAGAGUAAUUGUGUAGGCAUGUUCACGAAACGCACAUACGUCCUUGAUUCAAAGGUUUAGUACUCAGAGGGGAAGGUGAAAAAAUCUGAACGUUUACCACAAAUAGAUGAUUUUCGCGUUUAGAUUGCCAUAUAUGACAAAGUCACACAUGACUGAAGAAAAAUAAAGGCCAUCUUACAAUCAAGACUGCCGCUGUUCUGUGCAUGAACGGGAAGUUCGAUCUUCGCACCACUAACAUCACGCCCAAGAAGAACCACGAAAAGUUUCAAUGAACAAGAAUGGAGCGCAGUUUACCAUUCUGCUUGUUGCUUUUUGCAGG